CUCACAUGCACUCUCUCUCUCUCCCUCUCUCUAAAAAAUAAUAAUAAUAAGGGCAGGGAUGCCUGGGUGGCUCAGUCGGUUAUGUGUCUGCCUUCUGCUCAGGUCAUGAUCCCAGGGUCCUCAGAUUGAGAACCUGCUUUUCUCUCUCCCUCUGCCCCUUCCCCUGCUUGUGCUUUCUCUCUCUCUCUCUCUCUCUCUCUUAAAUAAAUAAAUAAAUAAAUAAAUAAAUAAAUAAAUAAAUAAAAUCUUUAAAAAACAAACAAACAAACAAACAAACUGAAAGGCAAAGGGGUGCCUGGGUGGCUCAGUGGUUCAAGCAUCUGACUCCUGAUUUCAGUUCAGGUCUUGAUCUCAGGGUCAAGAUCUCUGGGCAUGGAGCCUACUUAAAAAAAAAGAAAAAAACCCUGAAAGGCAGAGAUUGCUCAUGCACGAGGGAGCUACAUAUGGGUUCCUGCCUUGUGCAGGUGGCUGUGGAAGUGACUAGGUCAGGGCAGUGGUUCUCCGGGUAUGUGAGGGUUGCCUGAGAGCACAGUGACGAUGCAGGAGCUUGACCUCGCCCCCCAGUCAUGAUUCAGUGGCCGGUGUCAGUGCCUAGAGAGGGGACAUGGAUUCCACCCACUCAGUUAAAAAAAAUUAAAAGUUAAGGAGAUUGCUUUCAACUUUUAACUUCUUUCUCAUUAAUUAACUAGACUAUCUUCAUCAGUUUACCUUUAGCUAAAUAAUCUCUUUAACUGAUUAACUGAAGUUAAUUCACCUUGGCCAGCAGGAAGGUCAGAGACAUCAGCCUCAGGAGAAAGCAUUUCGGAUCCCAUAGGCUAUUUUGUCAGAGCUGAGAGCUGAUGGGGAAAGAGAGAGAAAGAUGUCUGGAGGGCAUGGCUAAGAAGAACGGUUGGUCUGAGCUCGGGUACCUGAGCCGCCCAGAGGUUCUGAAGGAAGAAGGCUGCUGCUCUGCUGUCAGCUUCGCCGGGUGGCCUCGUAGAUUCCGAAGCCGGCCAGAAACCCACGCUGCCUCCGUGAGCCCUCUCAAAGGCUGA
rnacentral:lncRNA from 1 species